CCCUUUGGUGCCGAUCAACGUCAUAUCGUUGUUAGCAACAGUUGCGAAAAGUGUCAACAGCGAUAUAUCGUUGUAUAUGCGAUGACGCCUUACUAUUCGCAUUGCGAGAGAACCUCAUUUCAAAAUAAGUUUAUAAAACGUUAUAAAUGGUUGGAUUUUUCUACAGAAGCCCAGUGUAAGAUGUUCUACAAAUUGAAAAAAUUACUUAUAGGUUUAACAUUCUGUUAUAUUCCGCGAUGAUUGAUACCGAGACUGUGUAUAUGCUAAUGCCGUAAGAUAAAAAUUCGACACGGGAGAUUUGCCUGAAGCCGUAGUCAUAAGUUGUAGAUAAUACUGUUUAAAAUGGAGUAUCUUCUUAUGUUAUGUUUACAAAAUAAUCUUUCAUCGGUAGAACGAGAAUAAAAUUUUUGGUGAGCCUGUACGAAGAUCACGCACAAUUUGUAAUCUGUGCAAGAUUAUAAAUUAUCUGUUGAUGUAAUACCAGCUCACUUGUUUUCGAGCAAGUAAUCCUCCUGGCGCUUACUGUGCAUCGUGGGAUUAUCAUUUAGUUUUGUAUUUUGAUAUUAGAAAUUUUGUUACGAAUAAUUGAGAAUGCAGUAUUUAUGCUUUAUACUACGUGUUCUACAUCAAACUAUGACCAAACACUGAUUAUUCUUAUUUGCAAAUACUGUUUAUAAAAGAAAACUGAUUUUUCCAUUUUUCCUAUUGAUUUCGGAUAAGUAUUAUCAGUAUAAUUUUCAACAAAUAUUGAAAUACAAUUGGCAUUGGUUUAUUUUUCCUUUAUUUCAUAAUAUGUUCCGUUUUGAAUUUUGUAAAUAUCAUUCUUACUAUUUUUAUGAUUUUUUUCUCAAACCUUACCAAAUUACAUCAAAUUGGUUCGGUAUUCUUCAUUUAGGUAUAAUUCUUUCGGUCGGCGCAAAAAGAAUUAAUAGAUCACUUUAAUAAGUUCUUAACCUUAAAAUACGUUUUGCUUUCAAUUUGUGCUUUAUAAUAGACCAAAAAAAAAUUAUUAAUGGGAUAUGCAUUGGGUUUGGGACUGGGACAUUUGGACUGAGACUGCCAAUUCAACACAGUGAUACCGUUCUUCGUUUAGUAGCUUAUUCAUUUCAGAAAACUGUAAUCUUUUUAAUGAUUAAAUUGAGAGCACUGUGUAUAUUUAAGAUUACCACAGUCUCAUCGUUAUUAAACAUCAAUUUGCGUAAAUAUUGCCAGUAAGCUCUUAUGAGGUUGUAUAAAACUAUUAUUGAAAUUUAUAAAUGACUAAACGUAAAAAAAAUGAUGUUAACCUUAUUGAUAUCUUUGUAAUAAAAGUUUCCUCCUAUCCCAACUCUAUUUCCUUGUGUUCCGCUGGGAACAUUACCGUUAAUCGUUAGUACAAUCCGAUUCAUUCGAAAAUAAGAAAGUGGGUCUAUGAGCUCGAAUAAUUUAUUUUAUGAUAUUACGAGAGAAAUAGAAAAGGGUUAUUAAGAGUAAUUGUUACUAUUCAUUCAAUGUAAUGAUAAUAAACUUUUACUAGUAUUUUAUCAACAAAUUA